UAACGGCGAGUGAAGCGGCAACAGCUCAAAUUUGAAAUCCGGCCCCGCGCGGGGCCCGAGUUGUAAUUUGCAGAGGGCGCUUCGGGCGGGGCGCCGGUCUAAGUUCCUUGGAACAGGACGUCAUAGAGGGUGAGAAUCCCGUAUGCGGCCGGCCGCCCACCCCGGGUGAAGCCCCUUCGACGAGUCGAGUUGUUUGGGAAUGCAGCUCUAAAUGGGUGGUAAAUUUCAUCUAAAGCUAAAUAUCGGCCGGAGACCGAUAGCGCACAAGUAGAGUGAUCGAAAGAUGAAAAGCACUUUGGAAAGAGAGUUAAACAGCACGUGAAAUUGUUGAAAGGGAAGCGCUUGCCGCCAGACCUGCCCGCGGGCGUUCACCCGCCAUUCGUGGCGGGGCACUCGCCCGCGCACAGGCCAGCACGGGUUCGGGCGGCGGGAGAAAGGGCCCGGGAAUGUAGCUCCCUUCGGGGUGCCUUAUAGCCCGGGUCGCCAUGCCGCCCGCCCGGACCGAGGACCGCGCUUCGGCUAGGGUGCUGGCGUAAUGGCGGCAAGCGACCCGUCUUGAAACACGGACCAAGGAGUCUAACAUCCACGCGAGUGUUUGGGCGUCAAACCCAGGCGCGGAAUGAAAGUGAACGGAGGUGGGAUCCCCGCGAGGGGCGCACCAUCGACCGAUCCGGAUGUCUUCGGAUGGAUUUGAGUACGAGCGUGGCUGUUGGGACCCGAAAGAUGGUGAACUAUGCCUGAAUAGGGUGAAGCCAGAGGAAACUCUGGUGGAGGCUCGCAGCGGUUCUGACGUGCAAAUCGAUCGUCAAAUUUGGGCAUAGGGGCGAAAGACUAAUCGAACC
rnacentral:rRNA from 1 species